UAGAGUGCUAGGAUGGAUGAGAACUUUUAGUUUCCUUGUCAAACCUUCCAAGUGAGGUGAACAUAUUACACCUCCAAUAACUCACGACAUGUUCUAAAAAAAACCAAUAAUUCACGACAUAAAGAUAGAGAGGUAGGUUCUACAAUGAAUAAGAAAUAACAUUACAAAAUGGUCAUCAAGUCAAAUAUAUAUACAGCCCUUGUUGCCUUGGUCCUGAUAGUUCAUACAUUGAAAAGCAUGUGAAGGAACAGAAAUGUUCAAAUCUAGAUAGGAGAUGAGCAUUUCUUGUUUCAUAGUACAUUUCUUGCUUCAAUUUGGUUGGCAUACGAGGCAUCAGGAGUUCUCACCCCACAGAGUAACAGUGGAUUCCUGCCAAAUCCAAGCGCGCCUGCGAAAUUUCUGAGCACAUUGUGCCAUUGCCAUUGUAGACAAUUCACAGGCGAAAUACGAAGGUUGGUCUCAUUCGAAAGGUUAUACGAUGCAGCAUUAUGGCAUAUGCAAUGUAAGUGCUUAGGUUAUACGCCAUGUCGAUCUGGGACGCGAUAGCAUUGCCACGCGUUGGAAGGAAUAUUGAAGGACGAGGAAGAGCGGAUGACAAUUUGGUCUCAGAUAGUAUUAUAGCGUGCUGUUCACAGGUUGAGAAUGGUAUUUUAUCGAAUUCAUUUUGCCGAGUGGCAUUGAGGUAAAACGAAUGGUAUUUUAUCGAAUCCCUUUUGCCAAGUGGCGUUGAGGUGAAACGCACUUUUAACAAA